rnacentral:rRNA from 1 species
CUUGGAGGUUGUGCCCUUGAGGCGUGGCUUCCGGAGCUAACGCGUUAAGUCGACCGCCUGGGGAGUACGGCCGCAAGGUUAAAACUCAAAUGAAUUGACGGGGGCCCGCACAAGCGGUGGAGCAUGUGGUUUAAUUCGAUGCAACGCGAAGAACCUUACCUACUCUUGACAUCCACAGAAUUCGCUAGAGAUAGCUUAGUGCCUUCGGGAACUGUGAGACAGGUGCUGCAUGGCUGUCGUCAGCUCGUGUUGUGAAAUGUUGGGUUAAGUCCCGCAACGAGCGCAACCCUUAUCCUUUGUUGCCAGCACGUAAUGGUGGGAACUCAAAGGAGACUGCCGGUGAUAAACCGGAGGAAGGUGGGGAUGACGUCAAGUCAUCAUGGCCCUUACGAGUAGGGCUACACACGUGCUACAAUGGCGUAUACAAAGAGAAGCGAACUCGCGAGAGCCAGCGGACCUCAUAAAGUACGUCGUAGUCCGGAUCGGAGUCUGCAACUCGACUCCGUGAAGUCGGAAUCGCUAGUAAUCGUAGAUCAGAAUGCUACGGUGAAUACGUUCCCGGGCCUUGCACUCACCGCCCGUCAAAA